AACGAGGCCGACCUGCGGCUGAGUUACCUGCGGAGGGAUCAUUAACACAAUGAUAAUCCUACCCACCCUUGCAGCCGGUCUUCGGAUCGGCUGCAAGAACCACAAUUGGAAAUGUUAAAGUCCCCCCGACAGCAUCCGGCUUCGGCCGCCUGCUUGUUGGGUAAGGCUUUAAGUCGUAUUUUUUUCUUUUCAUGAACCACAUGAAAGAAAACCAAAAGAAAACAUAACUUGUCAGUAUGA
rnacentral:misc_RNA from 1 species